rnacentral:rRNA from 1 species
GAUGCUCAGGCAACGAUGGGUAGCCGGUCUGAGAGGAUGAUCAGCCACACUGGAACUGAUACACAGCCCAGACUCCUACGGGAGGCAGCAGUGGGGAAUAUUGAGCAAUGGGCGAAAGCCUGACGCAGCAACGCCGCGUGAGGGAUGAAGGCUUUCGGGUCGUAAACCUCUGUCGGAAGGGAAGAACGGGAAUUGGUCUAAUAGGGCUUUGUUUUGACGGUACCUUUAGAGGAAGCACCGGAUAACUCCGUGGCAGCAGCCGCUGUAAUACGGAGGGUGCAAGCGUUAUUCGGAAUUACUGGUCGUAAAGAGCACGUAGGCCGCUUUGUAACUCAGGGGUGAAAUCUCACGGCUCAACCGUGGAACUGCCUUUGAAACUGCGGAGCUUGAAUCCUGGAGAGGAUGGCGGAAUUCCUGGUGUAGGAGUGAAAUCCGUAAAUAUCAGGAGGAACACCGGUGGCGAAGGCGGCCACCUGGACAGGUAUUGACGCUGAGGUGCGAAAGUGUGGGGAGCAAACAGGAUUAGAUACCCUGGUAGUCCACACCGUAAACGAUGGAUACUAGGUGUCGGACAAA